UGCAGACGAAUAAAGAGAAGAAAAGGAUUCUGUCAUUCUGUGUCAGUCUUCAAAUACGUGAAGAGCGUUCACCCUCAGGAGCAUGACAGGCGCCAUGUUCACUACCCGAAGAUGUGGCAAAGGGAGAGCACUCACGAGCACGGUUCCUAUGAAUGGAUGGGCUUUCCCAAGCUCCUCUCCUGAUGUUUGCUUCCCCUGAGGAGGAUAAUUUGGUGGCCAUGUCCUUGUUGUUGAGAAAGCUGAGCAUGAGGGAAGGCCAUAGAAGGCAAAUGGGGAGCAGCAUUUGUUCAGUCUUUCUCAAAUUGUCACUAACAUGCAGAGGCUACAUUUGAGUGGGUAAUAAUAAAAGAUAAAUGCAGGA